GAUGAACGCUGGCGGCGUGCCUAAUACAUGCCAGUCGAGCGAACAGACGAGGAGCUUGCUCCUCUGACGUUAGCGGCGGACGGGUGAGUAACACGUGGAUAACCUACCUAUAAGACUGGGAUAACUUCGGGAAACCGGAGCUAAUACCGGAUAACAUGUUGAACCGCAUGGUUCAACAGUGAAAGACGGUCUUGCUGUCACUUAUAGAUGGAUCCGCGCCGCAUUAGCUAGUUGGUAAGGUAACGGCUUACCAAGGCAACGAUGCGUAGCCGACCUGAGAGGGGGAUCGGCCAAACUGGAACUGAGACACGGUCCAGACUCCUAAGGGAGGCAGCAGUAGGGAAUCUUCCGCAAUGGGCGAAAGCCUGACGGAGCAACGCCGCGUGAGUGAAGAAGGUCUUCGGAUCGUAAAACUCUGUUAUUAGGGAAGAACAAAUGUGUAAGUAACUAUGCACGUCUUGACGGUACCUAAUCAGAAAGCCACGGCUAACUACGUG
rnacentral:rRNA from 1 species